CGGAAUUACUGGGCGUAAAGCGCAUGCAGGUGGUUUGUUAAGUACAGAUGUGAAAGCCCGGGGCGUCAACCUCGGAAUUGCAUUUUGAAACUGGCAGACUAGAGUACUGUAGAGGGGGUAGAAUUUCAGGUGUAGCGGUGAAAAUGCGUAGAGAUCUGAAGGAAUACCGGUGGCGAAGGCGGCCCCCUCGGACAGAUACUGACACUCAGGAUGCGAAAGCGUGGGGAGCAAACAGGAUUAGAUACCCUGGUAG
rnacentral:rRNA from 1 species